UUUUCAUUCUCUCAUUAAUUUUGAUUUAUUCUAUAAAAUAAUUAUUUUUUUAAAGGUGGUGUAGGGUAGAGCACAAAAUCUGCAAUAGCAGAUCUGAGCCCCAUUAUUUCUCCGAGAUUAAGAAGAUUGUUAGCUGUUAGCAACUCAAUACAACUAGGAUCAAAAUUCAUCAAUCAUUUCCAAAUAAAAGGAACUACGAGACAAUAGGAACAGAACCCUAAUUCAAUUCGAAAGAAAUUUACAACCGACUCUUUGGCAGUCAACUUAUAGAUGGCAGAAAAGAUACGCGAAGAUGAAAAUUGGCUUCAUUGACGAAUCUUGUAAGAUGCUAGAAGAUCCAAAAGAGGCAACACUAUGGAGAAUGGUAGAUGCUACAAUGAGAAUCUGGAUAAUGAAUACAAUCGACAAGAAAAAUAAGAUAAGAUUCAUUCUGCCACUUCUUUGAAAACAUGGUUCUUGCCUUCCUCUCUCCUUCCUCCUUGGAGUUCGUCCAUUCGAUCAACUCAAUACAACUAGGUUCAAGAUUCAUCAAUCAUUUCCAAACAAAAGGAUCUACGAGACAACAUGAACCCCAUGGAAGAGAGUCUACCAUUCUUUUACAGGUUAGGGUUUGAUAAAUUACUGAAUUAUGUGGUUUUAUGAUUUAGGGCACCGGAAAUAGUGUUUUUUAAGAAGAAGAAGAGAUCUGAAGAAGAAAGAAGGAUCUGUCAAUUCAUUAACAACCAAGAAGAAGAAGAAAAGGUGAAACUUCAGUAAUUGGAGAGUUGCUUCUCGUGCAGAAAGAGUUAAGUCCACUUCUUCAACUCUUGAAUCUCCAGCGACAUAUGAGGUGUGAAUUAGUGGAGAAUACCCAUAGACAGCUUCAAAGGGUGAGGUUUGGAUGGCUGAAUGGAAGUUGGUGUUAUACCACCACUCAGCCAAUGGCAACCAACGAACCCAUUCCUUGGGGGAUUGUCCAACCAUACAUCAUAGAUUUUGCUACACCUGUUGUAUCUUCAAGAAUUCUCGCCAAAAGGUGUUGAGGAACACUUUAUCUCGAUCACUGACUAUAGACAGAGGCAUCCCAUGAAGUUUAGAGACAUUAUUGACAAAAGCUUCAGCGACUGUUUUGGCAGAAAAUGGGUGGCGCAGGCUAAUGCCAUCUUGGACAGUCUGUCCAGCACCACGAAAAUUACAGAUUUACCUUGUGUUUUGGGGAGAUUUUCUAUAAAAUCUAUGGAGAUGGAUUCCCAAUAUCGAUUUGGAUUGUUAAUGGCUGUAACCUGCCUUUAUAUUCCAUAUUAUUUGACUUAUUUUUUUGACAUG